AUAACAAUACAGGACUCUUUUGAGGCCCUGCAAUUGGAAAGAGUACACUUUAAAUCCUUUAACGAGGAUCUAUUUGAGGGCAAGUCUGGUGCACAGCAACUGACCCGUGCGUGCUGCAGCUGAAA